AUUGAACGCUGGCGGCAUGCCUUACACAUGCAAGUCGAACGGCAGCGGGGGAGAAGCUUGCUUUUCCUGCCGGCGAGUGGCGAAUGGGUGAGUAAUACAUCGGAACGUGCCCUGUAGUGGGGGAUAACUAGUCGAAAGAUUAGCUAAUACCGCAUACGACCUGAGGGCGAAAGUGGGGGACCGCAAGGCCUCAUGCUAUAGGAGCGGCCGAUGUCUGAUUAGCUAGUUGGUGGGGUAAAGGCCUACCAAGGCGACGAUCAGUAGCUGGUCUGAGAGGACGAUCAGCCACACUGGGACUGAGACACGGCCCAGACUCCUACGGGAGGCAGCAGUGGGGAAUUUUGGACAAUGGGCGAAAGCCUGAUCCAGCAAUGCCGCGUGUGUGAAGAAGGCCUUCGGGUUGUAAAGCACUUUUGUCCGGAAAGAAAUGGCUCUGGUUAAUACCUGGGGUCGAUGACGGUACCGGAAGAAUAAGGACCGGCUAACUACGUGCCAGCAGCCGCGGUAA
rnacentral:rRNA from 1 species